AAAGUUGCGCUAAUACCGCAUAUUCUGUGAGCAGGAAAGCAGGGGACCGCAAGGCCUUGCGCUCUUUGAGCGGCCGAUGUCAGAUUAGCUAGUUGGUGAGGUAACGGCUUACCAAGGCGACGAUCUGUAGCGGGUCUGAGAGGAUGAUCCGCCACACUGGAACUGAGACACGGUCCAGACUCCUACGGGAGGCAGCAGUGGGGAAUUUUGGACAAUGGGGGCAACCCUGAUCCAGCCAUGCCGCGUGAGUGAAGAAGGCCUUCGGGUUGUAAAGCUCUUUCGGCCGGGAAGAAAUCGCAUGGGCCAAUACCCUGUGUGGAUGACGGUACCGGAAUAAGAAGCACCGGCUAACUACGUGCCAGCAGCCGCGGUAAUACGUAGGGUGCGAGCGUUAAUCGGAAUUACUGGGCGUAAAGCGUGCGCAGGCGGUUUUGUAAGACAGGCGUGAAAUCCCCGGGCUCAACCUGGGAACUGCGUUUGUGACUGCAAGGCUAGAGUACGGCAGAGGGGGGUGGAAUUCCACGUGUAGCAGUGAAAUGCGUAGAGAUGUGGAGGAACACCAAUGGCGAAGGCAGCCCCCUGGGUCGAUACUGACGCUCAUGCACGAAAGCGUGGGUAGCAAACAGGAUUAGAUACCCUGGUAGUCCACGCCCUAAACUAUGUCAACUAGGUGUUGGGUGGGUAAAACCAUUUAGUACCGUAGCUAACGCGUGAAGUUGACCGCCUGGGGAGUACGGCCGCAAGGUUAAAACUCAAAGGAAUUGACGGGGACCCGCACAAGCGGUGGAUGAUGUGGAUUAAUUCGAUGCAACGCGAAAAACCUUACCUACCCUUGACAUGCCAGGAACUUGCCAGAGAUGGCUUGGUGCCCGAAAGGGAGCCUGGACACAGGUGCUGCAUGGCUGUCGUCAGCUCGUGUCGUGAGAUGUUGGGUUAAGUCCCGCAACGAGCGCAACCCUUGUCGUUAAUUGCCAUCAUUUAGUUGGGCACUUUAGCGAGACUGCCGGUGACAAACCGGAGGAAGGUGGGGAUGACGUCAAGUCCUCAUGGCCCUUAUGGGUAGGGCUUCACACGUCAUACAAUGGUCGGUACAAAGGGUCGCCAAGCCGCGAGGUGGAGCCAAUCCCAGAAAGCCGAUCGUAGUCCGGAUUGCAGGCUGCAACUCGCCUGCAUGAAGUCGGAAUCGCUAGUAAUCGUGGAUCAGCAUGUCACGGUGAAUACGUUCCCGGGUCUUGUACACACCGCCCGUCACACCAUGGGAGCGGGUUCCGCCAGAAGUAGGUAGCCUAACCGCAAGGAGGGCGCUUACCACGGCGG
rnacentral:rRNA from 1 species